GAUGAACGCUGGCGGCGUGCCUAAUACAUGCAAGUCGAGCGAACAGACGAGGAUCUUGCUCCUCUUACGUUAGCGGCGGACGGGUGAGUAACACGUGGAUAACCUACCUAUAAGACUGGGAUAACUUCGGGAAACCUGAUCUAAUACCGGAUAAUAUAUUGAACCGCAUGGUUCAAUAGUGAAAGACGGUUUUGCUGUCACUUAUAGAUGGAUCCAGGUCGCAUUAGCUAGUUGGUAAGGUAACGGCUUACCAAGGCAACGAUGCGUAGCCGACCUGAGAGGGUGAUCAGCCACACUGGAACUGAGACACGGUCCAGACUCCUACGGGAGGCAGCAGUAGGGAAUCUUCCGCAAUGGGCGAAAGCCUGACGGAGCAACGCCGCGUGAGUGAUGAAGGUCUUCGGAUCGUAAAACUCUGUUAUUAGGGAAGAACAAAUGUGUAAGUAACUAUGCACGUCUUGACGGUACCUACACAGAAAGCCACGGCUAACUACGUG
rnacentral:rRNA from 1 species